CGGCGGACGGGUGAGUAACACGUGGGUAACCUACCUAUAAGACUGGGAUAACUCCGGGAAACCGGGGCUAAUACCGGAUAACACAUGUAACCGCAUGGUUCAAUAGUGAAAGACGGUUUUGCUGUCACUUAUAGAUGGAUCCGCGCCGCAUUAGCUAGUUGGUAAGGUAACGGCUUACCAAGGCAACGAUGCGUAGCCGACCUGAGAGGGUGAUCGGCCACACUGGAACUGAGACACGGUCCAG
rnacentral:rRNA from 1 species